UGAUGGAAAGCAACCAACUCUUGUGCGCGAGGGCGCGUGGCCCCGUGAA
rnacentral:snoRNA from 1 species